GAUGAACGCUGGCGGCGUGCCUAAUACAUGCCAGUCGAGCGAACAGACGAGGAGCUUACUCCUCUGACGUUAGCGGCGGACGGGUGAGUAACACGUGGAUAACCUACCUAUAAGACUGGGAUAACUUCGGGAAACCGGAGCUAAUACCGGAUAAUAUAUUGAACCGCAUGGUUCAAUAGUGAAAGACGGUUUUGCUGUCACUUAUAGAUGGAUCCGCGCCGCAUUAGCUAGUUGGUAAGGUAACGGCUUACCAAGGCGACGAUGCGUAGCCGACCUGAGAGGGUGAUCGGCCACACUGGAACUGAGACACGGUCCAGACUCCUACGGGAGGCAGCAGUAGGGAAUCUUCCGCAAUGGGCGAAAGCCUGACGGAGCAACGCCGCGUGAGUGAUGAAGGUCUUCGGAUCGUAAAACUCUGUUAUUAGGGAAGAACAAAUGUGUAAGUAACUAUGCACGUCUUGACGGUACCUAAUCAGAAAGCCACGGCUAACUACGUG
rnacentral:rRNA from 1 species